rnacentral:rRNA from 1 species
UAUGGCGACCGGCGCACGGUGAGUAACACGUAUCCAACCUGCCGAUGACUCGGGGAUAGCCUUUCGAAAGAAAGAUUAAUACCCGAUGGCAUAGUUCUUCCGCAUGGUAGAACUAUUAAAGAAUUUCGGUCAUCGAUGGGAUGCGUUCCAUAGGUUGUUGGCGGGGUAACGGCCCACCAAGCCUUCGAUGGAUAGGGGUUCUGAGAGGAAGGUCCCCCACAUUGGAACUGAGACACGGUCCAA